rnacentral:rRNA from 1 species
GACGUAGGGCGCGAGCGUUGUCCGGAUUUAUUGGGCGUAAAGAGCUCGUAGGCGGCUUGUCGCGUCGACUGUGAAAACCCGUGGCUCAACCAUGUGGUCUGCAGUCGAUACGGGCAGGCUAGAAUUCGGUAGGGGAGACUGGAAUUCCUGGUGUAGCGGUGAAAUGCGCAGAUAUCGUAAGGAAGACCAGUGGCGAAGGCGGGUCCCUGGACAGUUCCUGACGCUGAGGCACGAAGGUCAGGGGAGCAAAUGGG